AGCUCCAAUAGCGUAUAUUAAAGUUGUUGCAGUUAAAAAGCUCGUAGUUGAACUUCUUGGCAUCCUUUAAGCAGGCUUCGGUCGUUUCAAGGGUGUCAAUCCGCUAGGGAACUACAUUCGCACUUCACUGUGCGGUGUAAGGAACUGGCAUUUUACUUAGAAAAAAUUAGAGUGUUCAAGGCAGGCUAUCGCCCUGAAUACACAAGCUUGGAAUAAUGAAAUAGGACUAUUUCCAUUUUAUUGGUUAUUGGAUUUAGUAAUGAUUAAUAGGGACAGUUGGGGGCAUUUGUAUUUAAUAGUCAGAGGUGAAAUUCUUGGAUUUAUUAAAGACAAACUUAUGCGAAAGCAUUUGCCAAGGAUGUUUUCAUUA
rnacentral:rRNA from 1 species